AUUUCACUUAGAUGGAAACCAGAGGUUCCCGUCACUCUGACACAGUCAGAAGAUCUGACAUCAUCCGGUUUUAUCAUCACGUUGAACGUGACUGAAGCAGCUCUGCUUCAGGGCAGCUUCCUGUCCUGAAACUCUGAUCGUCUCUUCCAUGUUUUGGUUCUGCACCAGAUGAGCCGAUCGCAUUUCAUUUCCCCGAUCUCCUGCACGACGACACGGCUGACCAGCCCUCCCCUCCGUCAGCACCAGCUGCUGCCUGUGGGCCUCAAUCUGCCAAUUGCAGUGACUUUUACUUUCCACAGUAAAACAGACCUUUCAGCUUUUAUUUUGAAGAGCUGGAUGUAAAUGUGCUCGUCAGCACUCGGCUCAGCUUCUGUAGUUUUAAUGUGGCUGUAAAUAAAACAGGCACUAUGGAAAGAUUCAGGCGUGUUUCACAGCAUGUCUGUGGGAUCGCACAUACCGACCUCAUCAUCAAACACACUGCUGCUUGCGCUCUAUCUAACCUAUUAGUGUUAGGUGGGGUUGGGGGGGCACCGAGGCUCUCAUUAGUUCCCAGAACUUAAAAAAAUUGUGCAAACUCGUUGCCUCAAAAAAAGUAAUGCUUACUGAAGAUAACGACAUCGUGCUCAAAGUUUCUGACUGUGCAGGACGAACUUUUACCCUCUGACAAACAUUUCAGCUUCUACUACAUUCAAAAACUAUUUGUGGUAACUUUUUAAAAUUUGCUGACACACUAAUUAAAUGCAACUAAAUCACAUUAUGUUUGAUCUCGUUGAACUUUAGAGAUUUCUGGUACAACAUUUAAUAUAAACACUGUAUGAUUUAAACAUAAUAAUUAACAACAAACUUUUAUUUUCAAAUCCACAAUCAGGUGAUCAUCCAACAUCCUGUUCUACUGAACAGCAAAUGAGUACAAUGUCAUCACUGUAGCUUUUGUUAUUUAAUUAUAUUUUAAAUAUUGUCAUGGUCCUGAGUCUGAGGACUCGGUGUUUUGUGUUUCUUUACAUUAUUCUUUGUUCUCGGUUAUUCUGUUUUGUAUUUUGUUUAGGUUUGCUAUGUGUUAGUGUUUUGUUUCAUGCCUGCCUGUGUUCCCUCUGUCUGUCCAUGGUGUUAUUGUGUCUGCUCAUGAGUCUGCCGGUCAAGUUCAGUGUCCUGUCUGGGUCUCUGUGUCUGUUAGUUUCCUGUUUUAUUCUGAAAGUUCAUGUCUCAUGUCAGUGUGUUCAGUUUUACCUCUCCCCUGUCUCGUUAGCCUAAUUGCUCCCAGCUGUGUCUCCCUCCUGUGGCCCAUUCCCUGAUUACUCCCCGUGUAUUUAAGCCCUGUGUUUUCCUGUGCUCUCUGUCGCGUCGUCUGUUUAAUUCCUUCUCAGUCUGCAUUAUUCUGUUACCCGGUAUUCAUUCUGCGUCUCUCUGCCAUCUCUCUUUGUGCAUUUUGCUCCUCCUCCCAUGAGUGUCUGGUUUAAAUGGCCUGUAUUUAUAUAGCGCUUUACUAGUCCCUAAGGACCCCAAAGUGCUUUACACAUCCAGUCAUCCACCCAGUCACACACACAUUCACACACUGGUGAUGGCAGCUACAUUGUAGCCACAGCCACCCUGGGGCGCACUGACAGAGGCGAGGCUGCCGGACACUGGCGCCACCGGGCCCUCUGACCACCACCAGUAGGCAACGGGUGAAGUGUCUUGCCCAAGGACACAACGACCGAGACUGUCCAAGCCGGGGCUCGAACCGGCAACCUUCCGAUUACAAGUGGCAGUGGCUGUGGGUUGGAGAGCCAAUUACCUUGAUCCUGCAGGUGACCAUCUUCACUGACUGCACCACCUGUGACGGAGGACUCAUCUCACCUGAUCUGGGUCGUGGAGACUGGCAGUCUAAGCAGAGAACCCCCACACCUCCCUCCCCCGUAGCUCAUCCAGGGGAACUCCAGAGUGUGCUGGUCCUGGGACACGCCCACAACCCCUCAGCCAGGAGGCAUCCUAGUCAAACCACGUGAACUGGCUGCUUUCAAUGUGGAUGAGCAGCAGCUCUACUCUGAGCCCAGCUUGAGUGACUCUUCACCAGGAUGGACUCCCUCCACAUCACUGCAGCUGUGGCCCCAAUCCAUCCAUCUCUCGUUCUCGUGAACAACACACUCCUCAACUUGGGGCACCAACUCAUCCCUGAUGCAGAGUGGGCACUCCAUCCUUUUCUGGCUGAGGAUCGUGGCCAUAGAUUUAGAGGUGGUGACUCUCAUUUCAGCCACUCCACACUCAGUCGUGAUUCGCUCCAGUGAGAGCAGGAGGCCACCACCUGAUGGCUGACCAAGCCCAACAGAACCCCAACAGGACCCCUCUUCAGCUUCAUGCUCAUUACCACCAACAGGCACCAACCACCCUAAAGUCACAGCUCCUUGCAGCAGCCUCAACGAUAUCCAUCCUCAGCAAUGUUCCCUCACUGCUGGCACGGUUUCUGCACACAGAAAAUCUGCUUUGUGCACAAAAACAAAUCUACCCUGAAUUGAAAUUAAAACUUUAACAAUUCUGUUUUGCAGUGUUAGUCAGUGAGUGACUGGCUGAUGCGAUUCACAUUCGUAUAUACGCAGCUAAUCAACGUGGUUGACAGGCUAUGACAGCGUCCUUAUGUUAGUUGUUAGUUGUUUAGGGAGGGGAAGUUUUAGGAGUGACGGCGUGUUUGAGAUGUGAGAGAUUUGCGACGUUUAGCACAAAUCUUGUGUAGUUAGUGUGUAGUUAGUGUGUAGUUAGUGUGUAGUGUAGUCAGUAGUUUUGUUGUGUGUGUCAGAACAAUGAGGCGCCUGCUGAGUGUUACAGGUGUUACAGCAGUGAAACAUCUGCUGCUGUCAGGCCUGCAGGUAUCAGGCUGUUGUUCUCCUUCAUCUCAUAGUGGACAGGAAUUAUUUUUGGAGCGGCACAAAUAAUCUGUGUGGCAUCAGAUUUGAUGCAGAACAGCUGAUUGUUCUGUAAAUAGUUUGAAAUGUUUAUUUAAUAAACGCCUUGGCUGCAUUUUUAGGUAAACAGCUGCAAAACACUUUGUUGUUUGCAUGACUCAGUUACUUUUUUGAAGAAGUAACUAUAUAAUUAAUUACCCAGCAUUGGUCAUUAUUUACUGUAUUUCCAG
ensembl:lncRNA